UGGGGUAUCGCCAAGCGGUAAGGCACCGGUAUUCGAUCCGGCAUUCCGAGGUUCGAAUCCUCGUACCCCAGCCA
rnacentral:tRNA from 1 species